rnacentral:rRNA from 1 species
UACAGAGGGUGCGAGCGUUAAUCGGAAUUACUGGGCGUAAAGCGCGCGUAGGCGGUUUUGUAAGUCAGAUGUGAAAUCCCUGGGCUCAACCUGGGAACUGCAUUUGAGACUGCAUGGCUAGAGUAUGGAAGAGGGAAGUGGAAUUUCCGGUGUAGCGGUGAAAUGCGUAGAUAUCGGAAGGAACACCAGUGGCGAAAGCGACUUCCUGGUCCAAUACUGACGUUCAUGUGCGAAAGCGUGGGGAGCAAACAGG